UCCCGGAUGUUAGCGGCGGACGGGUGAGUAACACGUGGGUAACCUGCCUGUAAGACUGGGAUAACUCCGGGAAACCGGAGCUAAUACCGGAUAGUUCCUUGAACCGCAUGGUUCAAGGAUGAAAGACGGUUUCGGCUGUCACUUACAGAUGGACCCGCGGCGCAUUAGCUAGUUGGUGAGGUAACGGCUCACCAAGGCGACGAUGCGUAGCCGACCUGAGAGGGUGAUCGGCCACACUGGGACUGAGACACGGCCCAGACUCCUACGGGAGGCAGCAGUAGGGAAUCUUCCGCAAUGGACGAAAGUCUGACGGAGCAACGCCGCGUGAGUGAUGAAGGUUUUCGGAUCGUAAAGCUCUGUUGUUAGGGAAGAACAAGUGCAAGAGUAACUGCUUGCACCUUGACGGUACCUAACCAGAAAGCCACGGCUAACUACGUGCCAGCAGCCGCGGUAAUACGUAGGUGGCAAGCGUUGUCCGGAAUUAUUGGGCGUAAAGGGCUCGCAGGCGGUUUCUUAAGUCUGAUGUGAAAGCCCCCGGCUCAACCGGGGAGGGUCAUUGGAAACUGGGAAACUUGAGUGCAGAAGAGGAGAGUGGAAUUCCACGUGUAGCGGUGAAAUGCGUAGAGAUGUGGAGGAACACCAGUGGCGAAGGCGACUCUCUGGUCUGUAACUGACGCUGAGGAGCGAAAGCGUGGGGAGCGAACAGGAUUAGAUACCCUGGUAGUCCACGCCGUAAACGAUGAGUGCUAAGUGUUAAGGGGGUUUCCGCCCCUUAGUGCUGCAGCUAACGCAUUAAGCACUCCGCCUGGGGAGUACGGUCGCAAGACUGAAACUCAAAGGAAUUGACGGGGGCCCGCACAAGCGGUGGAGCAUGUGGUUUAAUUCGAAGCAACGCGAAGAACCUUACCAGGUCUUGACAUCCUCUGACAACCCUAGAGAUAGGGCUUUCCCUUCGGGGACAGAGUGACAGGUGGUGCAUGGUUGUCGUCAGCUCGUGUCGUGAGAUGUUUGGGUUAAGUCCCCGCAACGAGCGCAACCCUUGAUCUU
rnacentral:rRNA from 1 species